UUGCCUUCCAUUGCACAAAUUCUAGUAUCGUACCUAGUUUUUUAUGGCCUUUGCUGGCAACCUGGGUACAACAAUUUUUGGUGAUCAUCUAUCAUGCGCUGCAACUUUGCUGCUUUCUUCUCAGUUUCGCAAUCUCUGUAUGCAUCUCGUAUCACCUGACCAAGGUCAUCAGUAGGGCCAUUUUCUGCAAACUCAUCUUCAUCAACCUCGCCCAUUGUAGUACGUGCAAAAGCUUGGCUAGCAACCCAGUUCGGAAUGGUCUCAUCUUCCUCCUCCUCCUCGCCAUCUUCCAUUAUGACCCCUCGUUCACCGUGCUUGGUCCAAACCAAAUAGUUAGGCAUGAAACCGUAUUUAAACAAGUGGCUGUGAAUAGUCCCCCAGGAAUCCUUUGAAUACUCCUUCUUGUUAUUGCAUUGGAAGCAUGGACAACAUAC
rnacentral:lncRNA from 1 species